CGGAGGAUUUUAAGACACCACCCUCGACUUUAGCCAAUGAGAAGCCGGGGGCUAAACUGAGAUCUUAGCCAAUGAGGAGUCCGGAAGAAGUCAGUUUCCGCCCCUUCCUCGCUCCGGUAUUAGCCAAUACGGAACCAGGACUUGCUCUCUUCCGCAGAUCCCACCCAGUAAGGGCUUGGGGGCGGGCCUUGGGCUUCUCGCACGCCCCCUGCUGUGGAGAAGAGUCGCCGCGGGCAGUGUUCGAGCCGAUCCCGAGUCCGCCGGGCGUCGUGGAGUGGCGCUCGCCUCAUCUCCCGCACGCAGAUCCCGAGCUCUGGGCAGGGCGCUGGCGUCCUCUUACUAGACUGCUAAGCCCCUGCCGUGUGCUGGCACGCUUCCGACCCGGCGGGGAAGAUGGGCGAGACUCCGGCUGGCGCGGGGCCCCGAAGCCCAGCGGAGCGGGCCGAAGGGUCGGAGGCCGGACGGCUGGGAGAGGACGUGCCUAGCGACUUGGCCUUUUCGGAGUGAGGCCCGGACCCCGUGAAGGGCUUUCGGCGGGAGCACUAUGGCCGUUUUGUAUUCAAAAGAACUCUCGUGUGGUGUGGGGAGUGUGUCCGAGGGCGAGAGGGGGUUCGGGCCAGCCAGCCGAGAAGCCGCGGGAUCCUGGCGGAGACGCUCAGGCCGGGGGCCAGGGAAGUAGCCCGGGGAGUGGAAAGAAGGGACUAGAUUUGAGGAUGUCAGGAGAAAAAAAUCAAGAAACCCUUUGGGUAUGGGCACCCCCGAUUUUUGAAAUGAUUUCUGAAUUACUCGUCGUUGUGGAUGGAUUUAGGAAGGCAGAACAAGGCCGGGCGAGGUGGUACAGCCUGUAAUCCCAACAACAUUGGGAGACUGAGGCGGGAGGAUCGCAAGUUUCAGACCAUCCUAGAUGACUUAGUGAGACCUUGUCUCCAAAUAGAAAGGGCUGGGGGUGUGUCUCAGGGUAGAGUGUCCCUGGGUUCAAUCCCCCGGUACGCACAAAAAGGGCUGGGGGAGGAAACUGCAAAGUUUGGGCCACCAAAUACAUUCCAAAAGGAAAACAGCAUGACUCCAUGUGCAGUAUGUCAGCCGAGAACCUCAGAUCUUGGAAGCAGGAUCCCCUGUGAGCAAAAUGAGAAUCAGCCAGCAAAGGGUGAUGGGUGAGCCAGAAGAAAACCAUGCAUUUCAACAGAGCUGCCUACUAGGGUGCAGCAGACCUGGCCUGCCUCUGCAGGGGAGACUUGUGCAUUCAGCCACAACAAAAGGGGUUCUGUGUAGUGAAGCCAGGGUUCUCCUCCAGAAUUUUCCUGACCUUGAGAUAAAAUUUUCUUUCAAGCUUCUCAUGUCCUUUUUUUCUCAUUUGGUGCUCUCCAAACAGUCAUAUGAUGACUUUUUUUUUUUUUUCUAGAAAGGAGAAUCUGAAUAACAUGCAUAUUUUACCCCUGCUUGCAGUUGUAAAUUAACAAAUCGGAUUUACACCAGACCCCUGUGAGUCUGGUACAUAUGAGUCAGUCUCAAAGCCUUUGUCACUAUCAAUAGAGCUGACAUAAAAUAUUGGAUGCACAUUGAUGCAAUAUUUGUUGUUUUGCAAAAUACAGCUCCCCUACCUAUGGCUGUGGAAGCAAUUGAGUUUCUCAUCUUGCAAAGCUGAUUCCAAACUACCUGGAACUUUAGUGAGCCUGCUCUUCAAUCUGAUGGUCCUCUAGUUUUUUUCUGUUUAAUCUCCUCUUGGGGAAGCAAGAAUGAUUUUUCUAGGUUGAAAUCUCACUCUGUCCCUGUCGCUAGUGACUCCCCCACAACUUCUCCCUCCCACACCUGGUCAACUUCUCCUCAAUCUUUAAGUUUCUGCUUAGACUUCACCUUGACCCUGAAAGUUAGGUUGGCGCUAUUUUCUGUGUUUCUGGCACCCAAAUGCAUCCCAUCAUGGAACCUGGUCUUGUUUUUUUACUGGCUGUUCUGUUCCACUAAGCAGCAGCUUCCUGAGGGCAGAGACUGUCUGGUUACCCAGUGUCUUCACAGGGUGUGGCACAGAGCAGCUGCUCAGGAAAGGUUUUCUGAAUGAGUGGACGAGGUCUGUGGCUCAUUCCAACCUAAAAUGCAGUCCAGCCCCUGGGUUAGGGGAUGGCCACAGGGGUACUCAAUCAGGGCUCAUCCAGUAGAAUAAUGUCCCCAAAGUCCACAGGAACCAAGGACAGAAUAAAGGAUUGAGGGGAAAACAAGGGCCAACCUCAGCAUCAGACCAAGCUUCUGGAGGACAGAGAAUUGGUCCUGUCUGGGACCCAAGCAGGGAGGUCAGAGAGGCCAAGAAACAUUAGGAACCAGGUUAAAGGAGGCACCAUGCACACAGGCACCAUUUAGUAAAUGCUCCCUACUAUGUGCUGGACCUUGUGCUUGGCUCAGACAAUGCAGCCAAGAGACCACAGACCCUGCCUCCAUCCAUAUUUGAUUAGCAGAGACAGCUACCAAAUAAAAGGUAGCUCAGUAGUAGAGCACUCCCUUAGCAUGUAAGAAGUCCUGGGUUUGAUUCCCAGCACCAUCCCCAAAGGGAAAAAGAAUCCACCUGUCAUAAUACCAAGUAAUGCAGCAUUAAGGAAAACCCAGGCCCAGUACAUUGCUCUGUUUUUCCUACAGGCCUCAGCCCCCUCCUGCAAACCCAGGAGUUCAUACAGUAAGCUCUUAAACAGACUUCUGUGCUGUGGGCUUAGAAGACAAGCACCAAACUAACCUCACAAGGUCAAGAUGAAGUCUAAGCUGAAACCUAAAGAAUGAGGAGCAGUCAGCCAGGUGAGGGAGGGACACUAAAUAGCAGCAGCCUUUGCUUGUUCAGGCUCAGCCCCUCCUUGGCAGCUGGUGCACACUGGUGUGGGAGCGGGUGGGGUGACCUGUUCUGCACCCUCCACCGUAGCCUCAAGCACUAAGGUCAUGCCAGACCCAGCCCUUGGCUGUCCUGUGUCCAACUGAUGUACUGAUCAUAUACUGACCUGGGGGAGGACAGACUGCUGUUCUGCCCUCACAGUGACCCAGGGCAGUGGAAAGGAACUGGUGGCUGAUUGGCAAAGUCGAAUCCCACAGGCAAGAGUGGUGGGAAAGCCAUCUGGUACUUCUGACCACUGUAAUCUCCCCUGUUUGUCUUCUAGCCAGGGCCAUGAAUGCUGAAUGACAUCAGGGGACCCCCUUCUAUGGUGGUACUGGAAUAUGUAUCCUUUUUUUUUUUUUUUAAAGAAAGAGUGAGAGAGGGAGAGAGAGAAAAAAAAUUUUUAAUAUUCAUUUUUUAGUUAUCGGCGGACACAACAUCUUUGUUUGUAUGUGGUGCUGGGGAUCGAAUCCCGGGGCCACAUGCAUGCCAGGCGAGCGCGCUACUGCUUGAGCCACAUCCCCAGCCCCGAAUAUGUAUCCUUUUGAGGGGGGGUUCUGGGAAUGGAAUCCAGGGUCUUGCACAUGCUAGGCUAGUACUCUACCAAUAAGAGACACCCCCACCCCUGGAUCCAUAUUAACCAAGAGGAAAGAGAACUUUUUUCUGUGCUUCUGUAGUAUUGGGGUGUCACUCAGGGGACAAGGCUCUAGCAUGAUAAGGUCCUGAGUUUCAUCCCCAGUGAUGCAAGAAAAUUCCUUUUGGCUUCAGAAUCUGCAUAUUCCUCCUUGAGCUUCUAGGUGAGUCUGUGAAGCACACAGUGGGUGCUUUAUAUUCCCUAGCCCCACUUGACUUGCUGCACCCUGGACUGGAGCAAAGACCUAGGUUUGGUGUUGGCCACCAGAGGGCCACAGAGUGUCCUUGUGGGUAACACAGCCAUCUGGUGGUCACAGGUACUCAUGACACCCUGGGAGAAAAGGCCAAGUGGCUGGCUGGGCAUACUGGGGCCAGAGGCCUAGGUACCUGGCAACUCAUGGAAGGUUUGCCCUGGACGUAGUCAGCAUCCUUCUCUUGAGGAGGUGAGAUCCUGCACACUUACUUACACCCAAGCCAGGGCCAGGAAUUGUCCCACACAGUCCCAUCACUGGGUGACAGGUGACAGGGACCUGGGGAUGAGUCUGUACAGAAGUUUCAGUUUUCUUUUACUUCCAAAUGGGACAGAUUAUUCCAAAGGACAUUCUCCUCCCCCAUCAACUUGUAUUCCAAAGCAAAAUUAAACCAAAUAUACAUAGGACUGAAUUUCGAAAUUUGUUCAUAAAUAGAGAUUAUGUUAAAUAUUUUUUAAAUGUCCCUGAUAGAGGCAAAUUUACAAUGAAACUAAUAAAAUUGAAGGACCAAGGCACAUCAAUUGUAUGUGCCUUUUUCAAAGGCCCUGGGAGGUUCCUGUAAGGAGAUGUUUCUAUGCAGGCUGAAAUAAUAAGUCAUCUUAGCUGCAGUGGUAAACCAGCUGUACCUGUCCCAUCUAGCCAGUGGUCCAUCUGGCUGGUCCUCCAUCUCACUUCCGCCUGUUUUGGGAGAUCCAGGCACUCAGGUGUGGGGGCCUUGGCUAAGGGGAAGCUCACUUAUGAACACGUUUAGUUGAAGUGGAGUGGAAUACAGGGGCGUGGUUUGCAGUCCUGGGGUGAGGUGUCGCUCAGUGGUAGAGGCCCCCUUAGGUUGUGUGAGGCCCUGGGUUAAGCUGUUGCUGGUCAUCAUGUAGCAAUGGCUUCGGGGGAUGCACACUCCUUCACCUUCUGCGACAACUCACUGAUGCUGUGACAUGAAAGGCCAAGGCAGGAUAGUGCUCAGAGCUAUAAUCCGGAUGGUGGGCAAUUGCACCCCCUGGUAGACGUGCACAACUGGAAAGGGUGGAAAACUGUGGCAGCUCCUCAAAUCAGUUAAAAUAAGAUUGCCCCCGGAUACUGAGGCUGGACCCCUGCACACCCACGCCCAUAGUGGCAGCAGUCCCUGCAGCCAGGAGGAGCCGCCCACGUCCCCGUUCCGGAUGGGGGAGUAGGGACCAAGUGUGGUGCAGCCCCGAGGUGGGGUAUUACUCAGCCUGAAGAAGGAAGGAGAUUCUGACACCGGCUGCCACACAGAUGGAACUUGAGGACAGUGCACUCAGUGAAUAAGCAGCCAUGAAGGGGCGAGAGGGCACAGUGCCACUUAAAGAGGCCUGGAAACCAGGAGCCAAAGUAAAAUUGUCUUUUAAGUAGUUUUCACAGGUAUUUUGUCCCUCUUCAAAGCCCCACAUGUUAAAGGCUGGGUCCCCAGCUUGGCCCUGUGGUAAAGGAGUGGGAGCUCUUCAGGGUGGGGGACACAACCUUGAAGGGUAGCGGGACCCCAGCCCUUCCUCUCCUCUUUCAGUCCCUAGCCAUCAGGUGAGCAUUUUGCUCCACCUGGCACUUCUGCCAUGGGGCACUGCCCCUCCCCCCAAAACAACAUGUCCUCUUGACCAUAGGUUGGAGCCUGCGAAACUAUGAGCCAAAGUACACCUGCAUGAGAGGGCCUUGUGUCCGUGGUGGGGCUGACCAGCACGCCUGGCCCAGCAUUAGCAACAGUUUUGGAAGCUGCCAAGUUCUUUACUAGCAGUAACAAAGAACAAAACUUGAUCAGCCACACCAAGAACUCCAUCCUCUCUGGAGAAAUCACAGAGGCGAGCAGAGAAUGCAGCCCAAAAACCUAGCCAAAAACCUAUGUGAACAGAGCUUGCGGUUCCUGGUUCUGCACCACUAUGGACCCAGCUGCUAGAACGCUGCCCUGCAAGUCAUUCCUGCUGCCGUGAGCCAGAUGCCGGGCAUGGAGAAGCUGGGUCACCUGGAGAGCGAGUGCUGACCUGAGGGGAGACUGAGGCCCUGUUUUCCAUGAGCCUGUGCCAUCUUACACUUCCGCUAGCCGCACUUGAGAGUCCAGCUACACUUGGUGUUCAGUCACUUCUCAUUACCUUACCACUGAGUGGCAGUUCUGUUCCUAUGUCUUAAGUUUGCAUUUCUUUCCUCCCUAGAGAUAUUGAGCAGGCAGGUGCAGUGCCCCACACCUGUAAUUCCAGCUGCUCAAGAAGCUCAGGCAGGAGGACUACAAUUUCUGGGCAACUUUGAGACCCUGUCUCAAAGAUUAAAAAGAGUGGGGAUAUGUGGCUUAGUGGUAGCACUGGCCUAGCAUACAUUCAGUACUGGGUUCAAUCCCCCAGUACUGAAAAAAAAAGUUUUAAUUGUGCAAUAGUAUUAUAGUUGCAAAAGAUUUGUUUUGUUAGUGUUUUCACAGUAUAUGAAAUACUUUUAUAUUUUCACAGUAUAUACAUUUUUCAUCUUUCCACUUUAAAUCUUUCCUAUCCUUAUAUUCUUAUAAGCAGCAUGUAAUAUUGUUUUUCCUUCCUGUUUAAUAUUCUUUGUCUUUUAGUUGGAAUAUUUGGUCUUUUUACAUCUACUGUAAUAUUGAUGGAUUUGGAUUUAAAUCGUUCAUAUUACUAUUUGUUUUCCUAUCUAUCCUCUGUCCUUUUCCUUCCUGUUUCUUACCUCCUUUUAUACUAAUCAUAUUUUAUUGCUUUAUUUUACCUCUAACAAAAAGUUGCAUCAACUUUUACUGGUCACCCUAGAGAUUAUAAUAUGAAUCCUUGGUCUAAUACUGUAGAGUCAAAUACUGUACAAACUAGUACUUUGCCACUUCCAUGAUGUUGUAAAGACACAUUUAGAUGCCUCCUGCCUUUGGAGCUAUUGUUAUCAUGUCAUGUAUGUAUUAGUGUGUAAAUAUUUUUGAAUCAACUUUAUUGAGGUAUAAUUUACAUGCAACACAACAGGCACAGUUUAAGUGUAUAGUUUGAUCAGUUUACAAAUAUAUCAAUGAAGUUACCAUGUCAA